rnacentral:lncRNA from 1 species
UGCGUCUGAAGACAGGGUUUGCUCUUCUGGACUGUUGAGUUCCAUGAGGUCUGCAUCAAUUGAGAGGGGUCAGGUUGCCAGCAAUGCCACACGACCUCCUUUCCGGGUGACAGGCUUGGCCCCUGCUCAUGCUCUUCCACGUGGCAGGUGGCGUUCAGGUGAGCAGCUGACUGGAGGAGCUUCUGAAAUCCCCACAGCGGCCUGUGUCCAUCACAAAAAUGAUGUUGAGAGCACAGGGACCCUCCUCACUCCACAGGGGAGUCGCGAGAGCAGUGGUCCGAACAAGAGUUCAGGACCUGGUCUGUCUUCGUUACCUCUGUAUUCCUGGAGCCUGGAAGAGAGGCACGGAGCUGGUACCCAAUAAAUAUCUGUUGAAUGGUGAAGGAGUAAAUUUGUUUCUGGCUGCUUCAGAUUCUUUUUGGUGCUACAAGAAAGCUUCUAGGUGCCCCGUCGUGACCUGGAUCAGCGCUGUGGAGUCAGGACACUGCAUCUCUGAGCUCUGGGACUUCAGUCUCCGUGAGCUCAGUACCUUCCCACCGCCACCCGAGGCCGGGUCACCUUCUUCUCCAGCCCAGACCUCUGCAGGUGCCUCCUGAAGGGACUCCUUGCUUCUGCUCUUAGGCCUCUACAACCCCUUCCCCUCACAGCCCGAGGGAUCUCUUUAAAAGUCGAUAAAUCACCUACCACCAUUCCCUAGCUCAAAGCUGUCCAAUGGCUUCUCAUCGGACUCAGAAUAAAGUUCAAGCUCCUCACGCCUCACAAGACCUCACCUGUGACCCCCUCUCCAUUCUCAUGGCCUUCCUGCUCAUUUCUUCCUUGGGGUCUUC